AUUGAACGCUGGCGGCAUGCUUUACACAUGCAAGUCGAGCGGCAGCGCGGGGGCAACCCUGGCGGCGAGCGGCGAACGGGUGAGUAAUGCAUCGGAACGUAUCCUCGAGUGGGGGAUAACCCAGCGAAAGUUGGGCUAAUACCGCAUGAGCUCUGAGGAGGAAAGCGGGGGACCUGCGAGGGCCUCGCGCUGGAGGAGCGGCCGAUGUCCGAUUAGCUAGUUGGUGGGGUAAAGGCUUACCAAGGCGACGAUCGGUAGCUGGUCUGAGAGGAUGAUCAGCCACACUGGGACUGAGACACGGCCCAGACUCCUACGGGAGGCAGCAGUGGGGAAUUUUGGACAAUGGGGGCAACCCCGAUCCAGCCAUGCCGCGUGAGUGAAGAAGGCCUUCGGGUUGUAAAGCUCUUUCGGACGGAACGAAAUGGGCGGGACUAAUACUCCUGUCUGAUGACGGUACCGUAAGAAGAAGCACCGGCUAACUACGUG
rnacentral:rRNA from 1 species